rnacentral:rRNA from 1 species
GACGGAGGGUGCUAGCGUUGUUCGGAAUUACUGGGCGUAAAGGGCGCGUAGGCGGAUAUUUAAGUUGGGGGUGAAAUCCCGGGGCUCAACCUCGGAAUUGCCUUCAAAACUGGAUAUCUUGAGUUCGGGAGAGGUGAGUGGAACUCCGAGUGUAGAGGUGAAAUUCGUAGAUAUUCGGAAGAACACCAGUGGCGAAGGCGACUCACUGGCCCGAUACUGACGCUGAGGCGCGAAAGCGUGGGGAGCAAACAGG